rnacentral:rRNA from 1 species
UACGGGAGGCAGCAGUGGGGAAUUUUGGACAAUGGGGGAAACCCUGAUCCAGCMAUCCCGCGUGUGCGAUGAAGGCCUUCGGGUUGUAAAGCACUUUUGGCAGGAAAGAAAUGUCGCGGGUUAAUACCCCGCGGAACUGACGGUACCUGCAGAAUAAGCACCG